rnacentral:misc_RNA from 1 species
GAUGAAGAACGUAGCGAAAUGCGAUAAGUAGUGUGAAUUGCAGAAUUCCGUGAAUCAUCGAAUCUUUGAACUCACAUUGCGCCUUCUGGUAUUCCGGAAGGCAUGCCUGUUCGAGAGUCAUUAACAACCGUUUCGAUCCCUUUCUUUCAGAAAUUACAAAGAGGAAAAGGGUUUGGUUAUGGUGGAGGAGGGAAAGGGAGCGUUUAGCCUGUAAAAAAAGAGGCUGUGUUCCGCCUCCCCCCCAAAAUUGUACAGGCGGUCGUGUGCGCCCACGCAUCGAGGUGUUGUAAAAGCUGCCACGGCACUUUUCACCUGUGCAGUGCGAGAUUGGCCAGCCGGUUUAAAAACCCCUCCAAACAAUCAAAGGUUGACCUCGGAUCAGGUAGGGAUACCCGCUGAACUUAAGCAUAUCAAUAAGCGGAGGA